rnacentral:rRNA from 1 species
UACGUAGGGUGCGAGCGUUGUCCGGAAUUAUUGGGCGUAAAGAGCUCGUAGGCGGUGUGUCGCGUCGGCCGUGAAAACCUGCAGCUCAACUGCAGGCUUGCGGUCGAUACGGGCAGGCUAGAGUUCGGUAGGGGAGACUGGAAUUCCUGGUGUAGCGGUGAAAUGCGCAGAUAUCAGGAGGAACACCGGUGGCGAAGGCGGGUCUCUGGGCCGAUACUGACGCUGAGGAGCGAAAAGCGUGGGGAGCGAACAGG